rnacentral:tRNA from 1 species
GCUCCGACCGCGGCAUGGGCGAUGCUCUCAAACAGCAUUCAGUGUGAGUUCGAAUCUCACCCGGGGCA